UAGGAGAAAGCCGAAAAUCCUUAAAAAGAGUAGGCA
rnacentral:ncRNA from 1 species